UACAGAGGGUGCAAGCGUUAUUCGGAAUCACUGGGCGUAAAGAGUUCGUAGGCGGUUUGUUUAGUCGAAUGUGAAAGCCCUGGGCUCAAUCCAGGAAGUGCAUUCGAUACUGGCAAGCUAGAGUGCAGGAGAGGAAGGCGGAAUUCCAGGUGUAGAGGUGAAAUUCGUAGAUAUCUGGAGGAACAACAGAGGCGAAGGCGGCCGUCUGGACUGUCACUGACGCUGAGGAACGAAAGCGUGGGGAGCAAACAGG
rnacentral:rRNA from 1 species